rnacentral:rRNA from 1 species
GUGUCAGCCGCCGCGGUAAUACAGAGGUCCCAAGCGUUGUUCGGAUUCACUGGGCGUAAAGGGUGCGUAGGUGGCUGGGUAAGUCUCGUGUGAAAUCCCACGGCUCAACCGUGGAACGGCACGGGAUACUAUUUGGCUGGAGGGUUGGAGGGGGGACUGGAAUUCUCGGUGUAGCAGUGAAAUGCGUAGAUAUCGAGAGGAACACCUGUGGCGAAGGCGGGUCCCUGGACAACUCCUGACACUGAGGCACGAAAGCUAGGGGAGCAAACAGGAUUAGAUACCCUGGUAGUCCUAGCCUUAAACGGUGCACGUUUGCUGUGAGCGGAAUCGACCCCGCUCGUGGCGGAGCUAACGCGUUAAACGUGCCGCCUGGGGAGUACGGCCGCAAGGUUAAA